CCUUGGGAAUGUUAAAGCCUUGCACAUCAGAGAACACCAAGCGGCCGCUACAAUAAGGUGGAGAUGGCAUCUGGAUAACAGACGGAGAUGCAGAGGUCCUGGAGCAGGUGCUGGCGAUACGAGUGUGAGGGGACAACGGAGUGAAACAGGCUGCUCCAGACAGCUGAACCAUGACCCAUCCAGCAGCCGUUGAAUCUGCUGCAGAGCCUACAGCCCAAGUGGAGCCAUACAGUGCCCAAACCAGCUUCCGAAUGAUGGAUGUGCAAGAUCAACUACUACCCAUCGCCGACCUUGACUUUAAUCAAGAAUAGGACCAAGUCGUCUCGAGUAUUCUUAGAAGCUAUGCAAGAUCCAGCAGUCAAGAAGUACCAUAAGAGACUUUUCUCGGACUCAUAAAUUAGUUGAAAUAUGGACUGAAAAAGGGACACAAGUUGAGUAAAGGUUGAAGCUGCUGCAGAGAAAUGUCAACCUUGAAGCUACCAAAGGACAUUUCAAAGCCCACACUGAGAAGUCUGUUCAGAAAUAGAAGUUGCACCUGACCAAGAUGAAACCCAAAACUUGGAAUUAAUUGUUUAAUUGUAUUAUUUUUAAUGCCAUUUAUGGUGUUGUGUAAGCCAUGUAUGUAUUAUGUGUCUCUACUGAUGUGUUUUAUGCCUUACUUUCAUUUUCUUGUAAUUAGGCUGAUUUUUAAGUUUCUUGAGUAUUCUGUUAAGGAUACUGUGUAGUAUGAUUUGCAAAUGAAGAUGAAUCAAUUUGUCUUAAAUUAAUUGACUAAGAGAAAUGGAAUAUUGGGAGAAUGUUAUGUUGAUGACUAUGAGGUUUUUGGUGGAAGGAAGGGCUUAUUCAUUUGAGCAAUAACUGUGUGGGAUCUUUAUACAAAUUCUUAUGUUCUAUUUAGAGCUUGCUUUAAAAUAUGUUAGCAAAAAAACAGCGCACGCAUUAGUUUUCACAAUUUUUGUUCUUUUUUAGUUAUGGGGUCUUUUUAGGUGGUACCUCUAGGUACCACAGGGGGGAAUGUGGUGGAUUUUUGUGUGAUAUGUAUAACUAUGUAACUAUAUACACUAUAUAUCUAUGUGCACUGAACAUAUAUAUUUUAACUUUCAUAUAGAGUCUUAAGCACAAGA